UACGUAGGGUGCAAGCGUUGUCCGGAAUUACUGGGCGUAAAGGGCUCGUAGGUGGUUUGUCGCGUCGUCUGUGAAAUUCUGGGGCUUAACUCCGGGCGUGCAGGCGAUACGGGCAUAACUUGAGUGCUGUAGGGGUAACUGGAAUUCCUGGUGUAGCGGUGAAAUGCGCAGAUAUCAGGAGGAACACCGAUGGCGAAGGCAGGUUACUGGGCAGUCACUGACGCUGAGGAGCGAAAGCAUGGGUAGCAAACAGGAUUAGAUAC
rnacentral:rRNA from 1 species